rnacentral:lncRNA from 1 species
CACCAACUUCAUCAGCUCCAUCAUCUGAUAAACGGCCGAUGGAUUCUGAGCAGCCGACUCAACCUCUGCCGCAAAAACAGCGUAAAACAGUCGCCAUUAGAAUACGUUCCAAUCCUCCUCAACCAUCAGCACCUGCCGAAGAACCUUCGGCAAAGGAAAAGCAUGCUGACGCCUCAAUCGAAAAAGAGAAACCAGCUUCCCCUGCUUCUGUCGACCCAAUUUCUCCUGAGGUAACUCCUCAGUUUAUUCAUAUUGAUUCUUCCUCUUCUCACUCUUCAGCUGGAUCAUCUCCACCAUUUUUCGCCAAACCUAUUUCAUAACAGCAAACUUCCUAUGCUUGUUUUACUUCAUCCCUAAGGUGAGAGAUGUCUAAUAUUGGACGAUAGGCUCGUCGGGAAGCUUGUCUGGAUAAGAAAAGGGAGGCCGAACGAAAGUGAGCAAAAGCUUCGUCGGGUGAGCAGAAAAAGGAAAAGGGAAAGAUGAAGACAGCAUCUGCCUCAGAGGAGAUAGUGAAAGGAGAUAAAGGAGUGAGUAAAAAAACAAAGGUUUUGAAACGAACAGAGGAAGGAGAAAAAGAAAAAGAAAAAGGAAAUGUAGGUCAACUGAAACAAGAUGAUAAAGGGG